AACGAACGCUGGCGGCAUGCCUAACACAUGCAAGUCGAACGAGAUCUUCGGGUCUAGUGGCGCACGGGUGCGUAACGCGUGGGAAUCUGCCCUUUGGUUCGGAAUAACAGUUGGAAACGACUGCUAAUACCGGAUGAUGACGAAAGUCCAAAGAUUUAUCGCCAGAGGAUGAGCCCGCGUAGGAUUAGCUAGUUGGUGUGGUAAAGGCGCACCAAGGCGACGAUCCUUAGCUGGUCUGAGAGGAUGAUCAGCCACCCUGGGACUGAGACACGGCCCAGACUCCUACGGGAGGCAGCAGUGGGGAAUAUUGGACAAUGGGCGAAACCCUGAUCCAGCAAUGCCGCGUGAGUGAUGAAGGCCUUAGGGUUGUAAAGCUCUUUUACCCGGGAUGAUAAUGACAGUACCGGGAGAAUAAGCUCCGGCUAACUCCGUGCCAGCAGCCGCAGUAA
rnacentral:rRNA from 1 species